rnacentral:rRNA from 1 species
UAGGGGUUGUCAUGACCUCUGUGCCGUCGCAAACGCAUUAAGUAUUCCGCCUGGGGAGUACGGUCGCAAGAUUAAAACUCAAAGGAAUUGACGGGGGCCUGCACAAGCAGCGGAGCAUGUGGUUUAAUUCGAAGCAACGCGAAGAACCUUACCUAGACUUGACAUCUCCUGCAUUACCCUUAACCGGGGAAGUCCUUCGGGACAGGAUGACAGGUGGUGCAUGGUUGUCGUCAGCUCGUGUCGUGAGAUGUUGGGUUAAGUCCCGCAACGAGCGCAACCCCUAUUGUUAGUUGCUACCAUUAAGUUGAGCACUCUAGCGAGACUGCCUAGGUUAACUAGGAGGAAGGCGGGGAUGACGUCAAAUCAUCAUGCCCCUUAUGUCUAGGGCUACACACGUGCUACAAUGGAUAGUACAAUAAGACGCAAUAUCGUGAGGUGGAGCAAAUCUUAUAAAACUAUUCUCAGUUCGGAUUGUAGGCUGAAACUCGCCUACAUGAAGUUGGAGUUGCUAGUAAUCGCGAAUCAGAAUGUCGCGGUGAAUACGUUCCCGGGCCUUGUACACACCGCCCGUCACACCAUGAGAGCUGGUAACACCCGAAGUCCGUGACCCAACCCGCAAGGGAGGGAGCGGCCGAAGGUGGGAUUAGUGAUUGGGGUGAAGUCGUAACAAGGUAACC